UACGGGGGGGGGCAAGCGUUGUUCGGAUUUACUGGGCGUAAAGAGCUCGUAGGCGGCUGCUCAAGUCGAAUGUGAAAACUCGAGGCUCAACCUCGAGCCUGCAUUCGAUACUGGGCGGCUAGAGUCUGGUAGGGGGAUCUGGAAUUCCUGGUGUAGCGGUGGAAUGCGCAGAUAUCAGGAGGAACACCGGUGGCGAAGGCGGGAUCCUGGGCCAGUACUGACGCUGAGGAGCGAAAGCGUGGGGAGCAAACAGG
rnacentral:rRNA from 1 species